rnacentral:rRNA from 1 species
GUUUGAUCCUGGCUCAGAUUGAACGCUGGCGGCAGGCCUAACACAUGCAAGUCGAACGGUAACAGGAAGAAGCUUGCUUCUUUGCUGACGAGUGGCGGACGGGUGAGUAAUGUCUGGGAAACUGCCUGAUGGAGGGGGAUAACUACUGGAAACGGUAGCUAAUACCGCAUAACGUCGCAAGACCAAAGAGGGGGACCUUCGGGCCUCUUGCCAUCGGAUGUGCCCAGAUGGGAUUAGCUUGUUGGUGGGGUAACGGCUCACCAAGGCGACGAUGCGUAGCCGACCUGAGAGGGUGAUCGGCCACACUGGGACUGAGACACGGCCCAGACUCCUACGGGAGGCAGCAGUAGGGAAUCUUCCGCAAUGGACGAAAGUCUGACGGAGCAACGCCGCGUGAGUGAUGAAGGUUUUCGGAUCGUAAAGCUCUGUUGUUAGGGAAGAACAAGUACCGUUCGAAUAGGGCGGUACCUUGACGGUACCUAACCAGAAAGCCACGGCUAACUACGUGCCAGCAGCCGCGGUAAUACGUAGGUGGCAAGCGUUGUCCGGAAUUAUUGGGCGUAAAGGGCUCGCAGGCGGUUUCUUAAGUCUGAUGUGAAAGCCCCCGGCUCAACCGGGGAGGGUCAUUGGAAACUGGGGAACUUGAGUGCAGAAGAGGAGAGUGGAAUUCCACGUGUAGCGGUGAAAUGCGUAGAGAUGUGGAGGAACACCAGUGGCGAAGGCGACUCUCUGGUCUGUAACUGACGCUGAGGAGCGAAAGCGUGGGGAGCGAACAGGAUUAGAUACCCUGGUAGUCCACGCCGUAAACGAUGUCGACUUGGAGGUUGUGCCCUUGAGGCGUGGCUUCCGGAGCUAACGCGUUAAGUCGACCGCCUGGGGAGUACGGCCGCAAGGUUAAAACUCAAAUGAAUUGACGGGGGCCCGCACAAGCGGUGGAGCAUGUGGUUUAAUUCGAUGCAACGCGAAGAACCUUACCUGGUCUUGACAUCCACGGAAGUUUUCAGAGAUGAGAAUGUGCCUUCGGGAACCGUGAGACAGGUGCUGCAUGGCUGUCGUCAGCUCGUGUUGUGAAAUGUUGGGUUAAGUCCCGCAACGAGCGCAACCCUUAUCCUUUGUUGCCAGCGGUCCGGCCGGGAACUCAAAGGAGACUGCCAGUGAUAAACUGGAGGAAGGUGGGGAUGACGUCAAGUCAUCAUGGCCCUUACGACCAGGGCUACACACGUGCUACAAUGGCGCAUACAAAGAGAAGCGACCUCGCGAGAGCAAGCGGACCUCAUAAAGUGCGUCGUAGUCCGGAUUGGAGUCUGCAACUCGACUCCAUGAAGUCGGAAUCGCUAGUAAUCGUGGAUCAGAAUGCCACGGUGAAUACGUUCCCGGGCCUUGUACACACCGCCCGUCACACCAUGGGAGUGGGUUGCAAAAGAAGUAGGUAGCUUAACCUUCGGGAGGGCGCUUACCACUUUGUGAUUCAUGACUGGGGUGAAGUCGUAACAAGGUAACCGUAGGGGAACCUGCGGUUG